rfam:Stomoxys calcitrans breed 8C7A2A5H3J4 unplaced genomic scaffold Scaffold123, whole genome shotgun sequence.
UACCUUUACUGCCGGGAUACCCCUGUGUUCGCUUUGAAGUUUAAGCUAACAAUUUGAUAUGAGUGAACACAGCUGGUGGUAUCUCAGUGGUCGAGGACAU